rnacentral:lncRNA from 1 species
UGCAAACAACUUUUAAAAGGAAGGCAUAUGAAAAAGACGACAAUGUUGAGGGUCCAUCACAGUUCUUUACUGAUAGUAUAGACAAAUGGGCUUAUAGCAGUACAGGGGUUUUCAUAGGUGAUGAGGAUGGUAGUCACCUAGCCAAAAACACAUCUGCUUUGAACUCAGAGGAUGCUGAGAUCUACCAAACUGCUCGUCUUGCUCCCAUCUCACUCAAGUAUUAUGGGCUUUGCUUGCGAAAGGGCAUUUAUAGACUGCGACUCUACUUCGCUGAAAUCAUGUUUUCUAAUGACCAGACAUUUGGUAGCCUUGGGAAACGCUUGUUCGAUGUUUCAAUUCAAGUGAGUGAAAAAUAUCAAUUUCAUUAUCGUUAUUCCAAAUAUAUAAAGAACUGACUGUACUUUUCAACAGGGGAAUGUAGUUUUGAGGGAUUUUAAUAUCAUGGAAGAAGCUGAAGGUGCUGGUAAGGGCAUUUAUAAGGAUUUUGAGGCUUCUGUUGAUGGUAGCACUCUGGAGAUCCACUUAUACUGGACAGGCAAAGGGACUAAUUCCAUUCCAAAAAAAGGCGUAUAUGGACCUCUCAUAUCUGCUAUCGCAGUGACAAGUGAGCUUAUCUCAUAUUUGGGGUUUUACUACUUUUCUUGCCACAAGCUUGUCAUGAUGUUAUAUAUCUUACCGUUCUUGUAGAUUCUGAUCCCAACUUGGGGCUGUCUAUUGGAGGUAUUAUCGGCAUUGUGAUAACUUCAUGUAUGGUCCUUGUAUUGAUUUUGGUACUCCUGCGAAUGAAAGGCUACCUAGGAGGGAAAGACCUUGAAGAUAGAGGUGAGAUUAAUAAUGCAGGAAAUUUGUGACUCUAAUGCCUUAUCUCUUUGAUAUUGUGACAAUACUUUGGGAAUAUUCGAUAAUCUCUGUGCUUGUUUUUCACCAAUUUUAUUUCACUUGUUACAGAACUACGUGAGCUAGGGAUGCAAACUGGUUAUUUCAGUUUACGACAGAUCAAAGCUGCAACAAAUAACUUUGACUCUGCGAGUAAGAUUGGUGAAGGUGGAUUUGGGCCAGUUUACAAGGUAGUUACAGAUUUGGAUUUUCCUUUAACAACUGUAUGCCAAAGCAAUGAUUAAGAGGGAAAUGAAAUACUUUUCUGCAGCUAUCACACAUCCUUACAUUAUCUGAAUUCAUGAUCCCAAAUUUUGUCCUGCUUGAUCUUAGGGUGUACUGUCAGAUGGUUCAGUAAUUGCUGUUAAGCAACUCUCUUCAAAAUCGAAGCAAGGGAACCGAGAAUUUGUAAAUGAAAUAGGCUUGAUAUCUGCCUUACAACACCCAAAUCUUGUGAAGCUUUAUGGCUGUUGUGUCGAAGGAAACCAGUUGUUGCUCAUUUACGAAUAUUUGGAAAACAAUAGUCUUGCACGUGCACUUUUUGGUAAAUGCUUCACUAGAAUUUUGUAUUCCAUUUUAUUAUAUUUCAACAAUGAAUAUUAUGACUUAAGCCUUUCCCUCGACCACUUGUAGGUUCCGAAGAACAGCGGCUAAAUUUGGACUGGCCAACUAGGAAGAAGAUAUGCUUGGGGAUAGCAAGGGGAUUGGCAUAUCUUCAUGAGGAGUCAAGAUUGAAAAUUGUUCAUAGAGAUAUAAAGGCAACAAAUGUGCUGCUUGAUAAGUAUCUAAAUGCUAAGAUAUCCGACUUUGGCUUGGCUAAGCUGGAUGAAGACGAGAACACCCAUAUCAGCACGCGGAUAGCUGGAACGAUGUGAGUGUUUUCACUCAUUUCCUCCUGUUAUUAGCUUCCCUAUAUCAAAUUUGUAUAUGAUAUAAGAUUAUAACUUUGGUGCUGAAAAUGGGGAGAUUAAUUUCUUCUAUGCAUUUGAAUUCAUGUCAGAUAAAUAAUAAAUUGAUACAAUGAGAUGGAAGUGACCUUGAUUGAUAGAAAACUUAAUCAAACACUGAAGUAUGGAAUUUCUAACUUGCAGUUCUUUUUUUCAUUUUAGGUUUAAAAAGCUCAUUCUCUUCAUUGUUUAUUCUGUAAAGUCGAUUUUUGAAACAGCUCUAGAAAGGUCCAACUAUUAUUGAGAAUUUGUUGCUACAAAAUCUGAAGCAUCAGUGGCUUCGAGGCAUAAGUUGUCAUAUGAACCUCAAAAGCAAAUGGGGUGAUCCUCUUUUUCAGGUUUUAGAGAAGCAGAAUUUAGUAAGACUGUUGAGUUUCUAAAGUGGGUUCAUGCAUAUACAGAAAAUUUUUCCUCUCAAAUAUGGUUGAUUAGUUCUUCUUGUCCUCUUUCCAACAAUAAUUUUGUGCAUAUAUUGAUUAUAUGUAUAGCACAAGACUCACCGUUGAGCUGCUGAUUUUUCUUCAGAGGAUACAUGGCUCCUGAAUACGCAACGAGGGGUUACUUGACCGACAAAGCAGAUGUUUACAGCUUUGGAGUUGUUGCUUUAGAGAUUGUCAGCGGGAAAAGCAACGCCAAUUAUAGGCCAAAGCAAGAGUCUGUUUAUCUUCUUGAUUGGGUAAACAAUUGCUUCUUGCUCAUCCUUUCUGCUUUAUUUUUUCUGACCAUAUGUGCUGAUAAUGAAAAACGUGUUUCGGGUUUUACAUCGGACUGCAGGCUUAUGUCCUGCACGAGCAGGGAAACCUUCUGGAGCUGGUGGAUCCAAGUCUUGGAUCAAACUACUCAGAGGAGGAGGUGAUGGGGAUGCUGAACUUGGCCCUCUUAUGCACCAACCAGUCCCCCACUCUCAGGCCAUCCAUGUCCUCUGUAGUGAGUAUGCUUGACGGCAAAAUUGCAGUCCAAGCACCAACGAUCAAGCAUGAUUCGAUGAACCCGGAUAUGAGAUUCAAAGCCUUUGAGAAGCUCUCACUGGACAGCCAGUCUCUUGUCUCAGCAUUCUCUGUAGACAGUCAGGUCCAAGGCAGCAUAUCAGUUGAUGGGCCAUGGGCUGAUUCCUCAAUUUCCCUCCAUAGCAGAGAAGAAACAAGGGGGUUUCCUUCAUCAAGCAGGGUUCUUACAGGACACCAAGAUCUUUACAAUACACAUUUGGACUGAUCAAUGAAAAAAUAUGAGGCAUACUAAUAAUACUUCCAAGUUGUUCUUGCUUGAAGUUUUCUAAAAACAAUUUCGAUUUGAUUCUUGAGGAAGUAGAAACAGAAAUAAGUAUAUUUUGUUGUAUGAUAUAUUUUAUGAUUAGAAUUGUAUUUUAGAAUUUCUUUUUUUAUUAGAAGUAAGAUACAACUCCAAAUAUGUUGCAGGAAGCAAAUUCUAUUUAGUUAACAAUUUAAAAAUAUUAAAAUUAUUCCUGGUUUUUUAUAAAAGGGCUCUUUAAAACACAGUUUGAAAGUCAAUAUUUGAACUAAUUGAGAGUAAUACUUUUACACAAAAUACUCUCUUGCUUAUAAAUUUUCUUGGAAAUUAUCUUAAAAUUCAAUUAUAUGCUUGACAUUUGUAAAGCAAUAAUUUAAUGAAGAAAAAUAAAAAAUAAAUAAAUAAGUAUAAGCAUGUACUUACAAUUAAUUGCUGUGGCCCAACUUCUCUUUAUCAUAAACCCCCACUUAAACCCCACUUCCUAACUCAUUCCACUCCCACUUCCCACCUCAUUCAACUCACUAUGGAGUGAACCAGCCAAUCAAGAAUUGCUGCAGAGAGAAUUCAUGGAAUCUUCGUCUCCUCUUCUCUUGUUGUUUCUGGGCAUCUUUUGCUUUUCUGAGUUCAUGUCCUGUGCUCAAUUGCCCACGGAAGCUGAAGGUGCCAGAAGCUCUGUAAUUCACUUUUCUUUUCAUUUCUGCCGAAAUGUAACUUGGGUUUUGUGUAGAAUCUGGUUUUGUUAGGGAAAUUUGAGGAAACGAAGAGUAAAUUUGAUGUUGGAAUUUGGGUUUUCCAAACUCUUUGCUUUGAUUUGUUUUCUUUCACAGCUUCAAGUUUAUGGACUGUUAUUCUUUUAAUCUUGUCCACGUUCUGGAAAUUCUUGAAGCAACAGAAAAGGAGGGGUGUCAGAUUUUGUUUUCAUUUCCUCUUCAUUUCUUCUGUUUUCUCUACAACCAAACAGUGGGUUGCAUUAGUCACUUCUGUGCUUAGUUAUACUGACUUUAAUCCAUGAAUAUUGUUUACUUUCUCAUUUGGGUGUCUGAAUAUUCAUGCAUCAAAAUUGAUCUUCAGACACCCUUAGUUUGGUUUGAGUCCAUUUUCUUGGAGGUUUCUGACGUAGCUAUUAUUUCCUGUUAUAUAAUUACAAUAUUUGUAUAAAAUUAUGUGAAUAAGUGCUCGGAUUGAGUCUUGAUGAAGAAAAUCAGAAAACUCCUUAGGGUUCUUAGACAAUCAAAGACAUCCAAAGGCACUUGGAAGUUUUUGGUCAGUAAAAGAACUAUAGCGUCAUAUAUCAAAAUUCCUUAGUUAAAUAUGAGAAUUCAGUUUUGCCCUCUCACAUUUUCCUUGAAUAGUUUUGUUAAGUAACAACAACUUGAUUUAUAUCGUUGCUGUCAAUUCAUAAAUUAACACAGUAUCAGAGCUUUGACUCUUGAAAGUGGGUCAAGGUGUUAAGUAUUAGCUUACUUAAUAUACAUCAUACAUUGAAAUAUGAUAUUAUUGAUUGCCUCAAAUAUUUAAGUGUUUCAUUUCUUCUUAGCAACUUUGAAUGAGGGCAAGGGGUGGAAUGUUUGUAGAAUUGCAACAGUUAAGGGUCCUUUUCUCGUAUGGGCAAGGGAUAAGAUCCCACAGACACAACCUCAGUGAAUGUUAUUUUCUAGACCAUUUUUGUAUUAUCUUUUGUAUGAGAUUUGGUUUAUAUGCAUGAUUCAUUGCAUGAAGGUCCUUUCCUGUGGAUCAGUUAGGUUGGGUGGUUAGGGUUAAUGGUUGGGCCAGAUCGGUGGGUUAUGGUAUUUGGUUGACUGGUUCCUUGGAUGACAUUGCAUUGUAAAACCAACUGAUGUUGAAAUGUCAAAGGUAAGAAAAAGAAUUAAUUAGUGAUAUGGAUAGUUCUUGACCUUAUGAUUAUAAAAUAAUCUAUAAUGUAGAUUAUUAAAUUUUCAAUAUACAAAAUUUAGAUUAAAUAGCCCUCUAAGACAAGGCAAUGCAAUGCAUGUGAAAUGAUUCAUGUUUUGGAAUAAAAAUACAUACAUUUUGAGGCAAACCAGGGUUCAAAGCAAGUCUUUACUCACUAGCUUUCAGUCCCUCACUUCUACUGAUGAGUCUUGCAGCAAAGUCCAUGCCUUACUCACAUAGUGUGAUCAGUUCAGAGAAGAGGUCAUAUACAAGUCAAUCUACUAUGGACUAAAUUAUUGGUUUUUUUGUAGAGGACUAGUUUUUCGCUUCAUCAUAUGUUACAUAUUUUUGUCGGAAACAAUAUGGUUAAACUAAAUGGAUAAAAUUCUUGCAGUUGUUCGAAGUAACCUGCCAUUUAUAACGACCUUCAAGUUCAAUGCAAAAUGUCUAUCAAGUCUUCUGUCCUGGUGAUGGGCCCCUCAUCCAAGAGAAUCAGAUCAUCCCUUUUCCUUGAUUUUGUUGUCCAUCUAACGCAAAAAUUAGACAUUGUCGAGUUUCUGAGGCAAGUUCAUGGAUAUACAAAAAAUUUUAACUCGCAGACAUUGUUGAUUUGCUCUUCUUGUGCCUCUUUCUAAUGAUGAUUUUGUGCACAUUGCUUGUUAGUAUUGAAGAAUUUGAAGAAAAAUAUGAAGGAAUUUUUUUAUUUUAUUCUGUGAUACGUUCCUUUACAAUGAAUGAAAGCAUAAAUAAAUAGCCUACGGAUAUGAGACAAUUCCGGAAUGGAAUUUCCCUUACAUGGAAAGUGAAUAAACUCUUACAUGGGAAUUAAAUAAACUACUCUUACAUGGAAAGUAAAUAAACUACUCUUACAUGGAAAGUGAAUAAACUACUCUUACAUGGAAAGUGAAUAAAGUACCUUGCUAGAAUUACUCCUAAAUCAAUUAUAAUAAAGGCAGUACAUUACACUAAUUAGGGAAGUAAACAGAGGAUGCUGGCUUGAUUUCCAACACUCCCCCUCAAGCCGCGUUGUAGAUGUUGAUCAUUCCAAGUUUUUCUGUCAGAUCUUCGAAGUUAACUCGAGCAAGAGCUUUUGUGAGAAUGUCAGCCGUUUGACAGUUUGUCGGAGUGUAGCUGACUUUGAAAACUCCUUCUUCAAUCUUUUCCUUGAUAAAGUGUCGAUCUAUCUCCACGUGCUUAGUUCGAUCAUGAUGAACCGGAUUCUUAGCGAUACUGAUGGCAGCUUGAUUGUCGCAGUAUAACACCAUGGGAUGCUUCAAUGGAACCCGUAAUUCUUCUAACAGCCUNNNNNNNNNNNNNNNNNNNNNNNNNNNNNNNNNNNNNNNNNNNNNNNNNNNNNNNNNNNNNNNNNNNNNNNNNNNNNNNNNNNNNNNNNNNNNNNNNNNNAAAGAAGAGACCCUUUCCCGGUGUCAUCUUGAGGUAUCUCAAUAUUCUGAUCACAGCAGUCAUGUGUUUUUCGGUUGGAUUAUUCAUGAAUUGACUUACCACACUAACGGAGAAGCCGAUGUCUGGCCUUGUAUGAGAAAGAUAGAUGAGUUUCCCCACAAGACGUUGAUAUCUUCCUUUAUCAACUGGCGCACUUCCAUCACUUUCUUCCAGUUUGACAGUUGUAUCCAUAGGUGUUUCUGCCAGCUUGCAUCCUAGCAUUCCUGUUUCAUUCAAUAAGUCCAGAACGUAUUUGCGUUGUGAGACUGCUAUACCUUUCUUUGACCUAGCAAUCUCCAUUCCGAGAAAGUACUUGAGGUUUCCAAGAUCCUUGAUCUCAAAUUCCUUUGUCAGUAAUUUUUUAAGUAAGUCAAUUUUCUCUUCAUGAUCACCUGUCAAAAUUAUGUCGUCCACAUAUACAAUGAUAAUUGCUAGUUUCCCUUCUGGGAAGUGUUUCACAAAUAAUGUGUGAUCGGAUUGACAUUGAACGAAUCUGUACCCUUUCACUACCUUAGUGAACCGUUCAAACCAGGCCCUGGGAGAUUGUUUGAGACCAUACAAGGAUUUUCGGAGUCUGCAAACCUUGUUGAAAUUUGAUGGCGUCUCAAGUCCAGUAGGAAUGUCCAUGUAAACUUCUUCCUCUAAGUCACCAUUGAGGAAUGCAUUCUUCACAUCAAGUUGGUGAAGCGACCAAUCGAGAUUAGCUGCCAAGGAUAAAAGUACACGAACAGUAUUGAGCUUGGCAACUGGAGCAAAAGUUUCUUGAUAGUCAAUGCCAUAGGAUUGGGUGAAUCCUUUGGCGACCAACCGAGCCUUAUACCUGUCCACAUUACCAUCUGCCUUGUACUUUACUGUGAAAAUCCACUUACACCCAACUGGUUUCUUACAUCUUAGGGAGGUCAGUAAUUUCCCACGUACCAUUCUUUUCCAGUGCCCGAACUUCCUCAUCGACUGUCGCCUUCCACUUAGGAUACUUGAAAGCUUCUUGAAUAUUCUGAGGAACUUGUAUCUCUGUGAUGCUAGAAGUGAAUGCACGAAACGUAGGUGAUAGCUUAUCAUAAGAAAUAAAAUUUCCAAUGGGAUGCUGAGUGCAUGAUCUAACUCCUUUCCUCCAAGCUAUGGGCAUAUUAAGAAUAUCAUUUUCUAACUCGGAAUCAACAGUACCAUUAGGAGCGUUGUUACCUGGAAGUUUGCUUGGAUUAGGACCCGGUUCUGCCUCAUGGGUUUGUUGAGAAAGUGCUCUUUCCUCUAUUUCCUCUUGGAUGUGCUUCUUAUCCCACAAGUCAACAAUGGACUCGGGUUGAUUAAAUGACUCUGGAGGAAUGUGAUUUUCAGUGGUGAUGGGUGACUCACUGAAUGACUCAAGAUCCCAAAAUUGAUAUUCUUGAGUUGAAUUCUCCCCCUGAAUAUCGUUUUUGGGAUAGUAAGGCUGGGUUUCAAAAAAGGUGACAUCCAUUGAAUUGUAGAAUUUUCUUGUGACCGGAGAGUAACACUUAUACCCUUUUUGAUUUGAAGAAUACCCAAGAAAGAUGCACUUGAGUGACCUAGGAUCAAGUUUACUUCUAUGUUGUUGAUUGAUAUGAACAAAGACAGAGCACCCGAAAAUUUUGGGUGGGACGGUGGAGAUGAGACGAGUAGUCGGAAAGGAUUUUAGGAGUGUUUGACAAGGUGUUUGGAAUUUUAGUACCCUAGACGGCAUCCUAUUGAUGAAGUAGGCUGCCGUAAGGACAGCUUGCCCCCGAAUAAUUUUGGAACAUUCAUGGAGAACAUUAGUGAUCUAGCCACCUCUAACAAAUGCCUAUUUUUCCUUUCAGCGAUUCCGUUUUGUUGUGGGGUAUCAACACUUGAACUUAAGUGAACUAUCCCUUCUUGUGCUAGAAAUUCUCCUAGAAUGGAGUUGAAAUAAUCCCUAGCAUUAUCAAACUUUAGAAUUUGUAUUUUUGACUGGAAUUGGGUCUGAAUCAUAUUUUUAAAAUUUUUGAAAAUUUGACUCGUUUCAGAUUUUUCUUUCAUGAGGAAUACCCAAGUUAAUCUAGUGUGAUCAUCUAUGAAUGAGACAAACCACCUAGUACCAGUUACAUUUUUUAUUCUUGACGGACCCCAGAUAUCGCUAUGAAUCAUUGAGAAUGGACUAGACUCUUUAUAGGGUUGAAUGGGAAAAUGAGACCGGACUUGCUUUGAUAAUUGACAGAUUUCACACUCAAAGGAUUGUGGAUUUUUAUUAAAUAAUGAAGGAAAUAAAUGCUUGAGAUACAUAACAUUUGGAUGACCUAAGCGAUAGUGCCACAACCUAAUUGCACUAUCGUUAUUUUGACAUGAAACCGAAAAAGAAUUACUACCAACUGUCAUUUGAGGUUGUUCUUGUGGAUCGUGGCGCUCCUUAAGGAUGUAGAGUCCAGAGCAUUCCUCAGCAUUGCCAAUCGUCUUCCCCGAAUCCAAAUCCUGAAAUUCACAGUGAGUGGAGGAAAAAUUAGUAAUACACCUCUUUUCCUUAGUGAGUUUACUAAUUGACAAUAGAUUACAGUCCAAGUUAGGAACAAGGAGAACAGAGUUGAGAGUAAGAUCCCUUGAUAGCACAACUGAACCUGUUCCGGCAACCUUUGAUAGUGAACCAUCUGCUAUUCGGACUGUUAAAUUAUUUGGACAUGAGCUAUAUGUAUCAAAAAUUGUCGCAUCUCCCGUCAUAUGAUCAGAUGCUCCUGAGUCCACUAUCCAAGGUUUUUUACGUUUCUUACCAGCAGUGAAGGCACUCAAAAAAUUACCUUUGUGAGCCAAGGUUCCGGAACUAAUGACCUGGUUGGAAGAUGAGCCAGUUUGUGACUGUACUGACAAAAGAGGAGACAGUAGUUUCUGAAGCAUCUCCAUUUGCUCCUUAUUAAAAGGGCUAGCUUCAGGUUGUGGCGAUUGUUCAUCGGUAGCCACAUGAUUGCCUCGUCCUUCUUUCUCAAGUGGUUGACGUGGCUUCCAAUCUACUGGCUUUCCAUGAAUCUUCCAGCAAGUUUCUCUUGAGUGUCCCGGCUUUCUGCAAUGAUCACACCAAGGUCUACCUCCUUUAAUUUUUUGACGGUUUUCAAAAGGAGCGAAUUGAGUAUUAAGAGCCGAGCUUUCUGCCAUAUUCAGUUGUUGAUGGGAUCCCAUCAUGAGAUUUUUCCGACUUUCUUCGCGACGGACUUUAGAGAAUGCCUCUCUGAGGCUAGGUAAGGGUUUUACUCCCAUGAUUCUUCCAUUAAAGAUGAAGACGAUGAGACAGGAUUAAACCUGCUCUGAUACCAUGAAGAAUUUGAAGAAAAAUAUGAAGGAAUUUUUUUAUUUUAUUCUGUGAUACGUUCCUUUACAAUGAAUGAAAGCAUAAAUAAAUAGCCUACGGAUAUGAGACAAUUCCGGAAUGGAAUUUCCCUUACAUGGAAAGUGAAUAAACUCUUACAUGGGAAUUAAAUAAACUACUCUGGAAAGUAAAUAAACUACUCUUACAUGGAAAGUGAAUAAACUACUCUUACAUGGAAAGUGAAUAAAGUACCUUGCUAGAAUUACUCCUAAAUCAAUUAUAAUAAAGGCAGUACAUUACACUAAUUAGGGAAGUAAACAGAGGAUGCUGGCUUGAUUUCCAACAAGUAUAUCACAAGACUCAACAUUCAGGUGCUGAUUUUUCUUCAGAGGAUACAUGACUCCUGAAUACUCGAAGAGGGGUUGCUUAACUGAGGAACAGCAACACCAGUUGCUGGCCAAAGCAGGAGUUUGAUUGUCUUCUCCAUGGGGAUAUCUUUUGGCUUCCUGCACGUCCUUUCUGGACAGUCUUUUCCUCUAUAUCUUCAAGUUUCAUUAUCAAUGUCCUCUGUAAUUAGCAUGCUCAAAGGCAAAUCUGCGGUCCAAGCAACGAGCAUCAAGCAUGAUACAAUCAACCCAGAUAUGAGAUUCGAAGCCUUUGAGAAGCUCUCAAUGGACAGCAAGCUUCAUGUCUCAAUAUUCUUUCAGGCCAGUUAGGUCCAAGGCAGCAUAUCAGUUGAUGAGCCAAGGAUGGAUUCCUCGGUUGCCUUCAAUAGCAGAGAAGACUCGAGGAUUCUUCAUCAAGCAAGCUUCUUACCAGGUCUGGAACAUGGAAGGUUGAGUCUACCCUAAUCUAACCAACCCGAAUCCAACUCAAAAAAAUGCAAGCUUUGGUUGACUGAUAAUGAAAACAUGAGGUAUGCGAAUAUUAUGAAAAAUGAUGCUUGAAAACUAUUUUGAUUUGAAUAUGUGCAGAUUCUUGUGUGAAUGGAGUGGUUCGAGUCAACACAGAGACAAGGAUUCAAAUAUAGAAAAAUAAAAUUCUGGAUGACACUUACUAACGUUGGAUCCAUGUUCUUCUCUUCUCUCUCUGGUGUUAAUUGUUGAUCGUCUCUUCGAAUUUUUUUUAGUAUGAAAAAAAGGAUGUAAUUUCAAUGUGGAAAAAAUGAUGAAGGGAAAAAGAGAAGAAGUUGGUAGAUAAUUGUGAUAAAGUUAAAAAAUCUAUGCAUUUAAUUAAUUUUUAAAAUAUGUGAAAAUAAUUUAUCAACAAACUAUUCUUAAAAUUCUCAAAUUCAAUUUAAAUUAUCUUAUGUAAUAUAAUUAAAAUAUAAUUCAUAAAAGUUUUAUAUUUAAAAUUAUAAAUUUAACCCUUUUUAUUAAAAAAAAAAUAAUGAUGGAAUCAUAGAAAAUAAUUUACAAAAGUUUUGUACAUUUAAAAUAAUAAAUUCAAUUAUUCAUAUUAACUUUAAAUUUCAUAUUAAAAAAAGUUAAAAUAUGAAAAUAAAAGGAUAUGAUAUAAAUAUAAUGAUUAAAAUUAUUUCUUAGUAUUUUAUAUUUCUAAAAGUUACUAUAAUAAGUUAAAAGAAUUUAUUUGAAGUAAUCAUAAAUAGAAAACUAAAAAAUUUAGAUGUUUAAUUAACUUUAAAAAUGUUUGAAAAUAAUUUAUCAAUAAAUUAUUCUUAAAACUCUCAAAUUUAAUUUAAAUUAUUUUAUUUAAUACAAUUAAAAUAUAAUUCACAAAAAAAUUAUCUAUUUAAACUAAUAAAUUCAACUAUUUAUGUAAACUUAUAUAAAAAAAAUGUAAUGAUACAUUAAUUUUUAAUAUUUUAAGUUUAUAAAGUUAUCGUUUUAAAAAAAAAUAAAGAAAAAUCUUAUAUUAUUAUAAUAUAUUACUAUUUAUUAUCUAUUAAUAUAAUAUUAUAGGAUAAUAUAUUAUUAUAUUUUAUAAAUGUUUAUUUACAAAUAUUAUUUAUUGAUAAAUAUCAAAAUUUUAACUAAAUUAUUUAUAUAUCAUGGAAAUAACAAAUUUUUAUGGAUAAUUAAUUUAAAAAUGGAGAUCAAUUUUUAUCUAUUUAUUUUACCGAAUCAUCAAAAUAAUUUCGAUUUAUAUUCUUUAAAUAAAAUAGUGAUAAACUUAAAAGUUUAAAUGAUUUAACAAAAAUAUAUGACGUAUAAUAUAGAUAUAGAAAUUAAGUUAAUUAUUUAAUUAUAAAAUAUAAAUUAUUUAAAGAAAUAUAAAAAAUAAUAUUAUAUUAUUAUAAUAUAUUAUCUAUUAAUAUAAUUGUGAUGCAUUUUUCGUGUCGAGAUUCACGUUUUAUUUGAAAUUUUGAUUUUUUUUAUUAUUUUAAAUUGUUUUCUUUUUUUUUUAAUAGAAAAUUAGAUGAUGUUUAUUUUUUUACUUAAUUCUAAAUAGAACCUUAAUGCUUAAUAGUGUUAAAUAUUAAGUAUUGGUUUUUAUAGUAUUUUAUUUCUAUUAAGUAUUAAAAAGUAAAGAAAAAUCAAUACGUAAUUUUUUCUAUUUAGAAAAAAGCUAUAUAUUUUGAUUUCUUUUAUUUAAUAAAAAAUUUAUAAUAAGUUAUAAAAAAGUAAAAAAAAAAAAUCAUGAAAAUAAAUUGUUUUCACCAAAAAAUAAAAAAAACAAACACCAGGUUAUAAUGAUAAAUGAAAGACUAAAAGUAAAAUAAAUAUAAAUAACAAAUUCAUGACUUUUACCAAUUAUAGUGAAAAAAAAAUUAUUUACCCUUAAAAAUAUCUUUUCAAACAUUAAAUGAUAUUUUUGGAUUCGUUAGAGUUAUAGUAAUAAUUUUAAGUUAGAAUUUCUUUUUUUUUGAUUUAAAUUCUAAAUCACUAUAAAGAAAAUUCCUUAUUCAAUUUUAUCCAACAUAAUAAACUAAAUAAAUUUAUUUUAAAAUAUUAAAUUAUUGAUAUUUUAUGAAUUUAAUGUCUAGACUUAUGGUGAAUAACAAAAUAUGAAAGAUAUGAUUAUAAAAAAAGAAAUAUUAACGGAGAUUAAAUCACGAAAUCAACAUCACCAUCACUUUCAUAAAGUAACUAAAGCUACUUUAAAAUCUCAUUUUGUUACGUGUCUGAGUUUCCAUGCCAUAAAUUUCAUGGGAAUUCAUCCUUAAAUUCAUUUGAAUUUAUAAAAUAAUAAUUUAAUGAAAAAGGAAAGUAAUGCGCAGCCAUGAACGUACCUUCGUGUGGUUGAACAUUCAAAGCUUCUCCUCUUUAAAAACCUCCCUUAAACCCCUCUCUCCCACUCAUUCAAUUCAGUGUAAAGCGAACCAGUCAUUCAAGAGUUGCUACAGAGGGAAUCCAUGGAUUCUUCGUUUCUUCUCCUCUUGUUGUUUCUGAGUUUCUUCUGUUUUUCUGAGUUCACAUCCCAUGCUGCACGUAUUCCAGACUAUGAAGGUAUCACCACUGUAAUCUCACUUUUUCUUUCCGUUUCUGGGGAAGAUGAAACUUGGCUCUUGUGUAAAAUUUGUUGUUGUUAAAGAAAUCUGAAGAAAAAGAGAAGUAAAUUUGGUCUUUUCGAGGUAUCUGUGCUUUGUUUAAUACUUCACUGCUAUAAUUUUUUGGAAUCUUGUGGAUUUCUCAUGGUUUGGGAUCUGAGAAUUUUGAUAUCUCUGUUUGUCUCACAGUUGUUUAAAUUUUAUCAUGCUCUGGGAAUUCUUAUGGAAACAGAAAAGCAGGCAUGUCAGAUUAUGUUUUAUUUUAUUUUUUUAAAAUUUUCCUCUGCUUUCUCUGCUACCAAACGUUGGCGUAUAUCAUUCUGCUGGAAAAUUCUUUGUGCCACUGCGCCAUAGCGAAUUUUUUCAUCUAAAACAAUAGGGUAUCUUAAAAAUAUAUAAAGUUUUAAUUAAUUUAAUUAUAUUUGAUUUUCUUUAGUAUUUAUACACUAAAAACAAAUAUGAGAAAAUAAUUUUUAUUAGCAUUUUUUUUCUUAUUAGAAAAAAAUCAAUUUAUUUUAAUUAUCCCACUAUGAAGGUAGAUAUGGGAAGAAAAGAUUGUGAAUAGCUUUUGGAUCGAGUCCAGAGUUAUCCAUGCAUCAUUGGACAAAGAUUUAAAAUACAGAUAUUUAUUACCAUGGAGGCAAUUCCAUUUGAUUAAGGAAAAUACAGAUAUUUAUUUUAGUAUUUCGACUUUAUUUACAUUGAAUUAUUACCUAUAUUGUCAGGAAAUGGUAGAAAAAGAAGGACAAGGAACAGAAUGGAAUGAAUAGCUUUCAUUCAGUACCAUGUCCACUUGAAUUAUCGGACCAUAUUGAAGUCAUCUCCAAGUCAGUCUCAGGUGACAGGUCCACUUGCUGGACUUUGGGCGCACCUGGAUUAAUCUUUAGGCCCACCAAUUUGUCUUGAUUUCAUGGUUGUCUGGAAUAAGGAUAUCGGGUUGCGUGUAGAAAAUUCGAUGAGUUACGGAUUCUUGUUGAUUGGUGGUGAUAUCAACUGGUCUUCAAAGUCAAAGGCAGAAAAAGAACGUUGAUAUGGACAAGUCUUGACCAUAUGAAAUGCAUCUUUUGGACUAAAAAUACAUGUACCUUUGUCUUUUGAAAAUACUAAUGAAAAAUAGGCCGUAUUUUGUCAAUUGUUUUUUAAAAUAAUUUUUUUGUUCUUCAGGAAAAAAUGAAUAAGAAAAUGUCUUUUACAACCAGAAAAUAAAAAAUGGAAAAUAAAUUUAUGUUUUUAAAAACUAAAAAUAAGGUAUUUGUAGAAAAUAUCUUUUAGUAUUUUCACUUGUUUUCUAAUGAUGGUUUUAAAAACUAAUUAUAUAAAUAUAGAAAAUAAUUAAAAAUAAAGUGCUAUAGAUAAAAAUUAUUUUUAAAAUAUAAAAAUAUAUGUUAAAAAAAAUAGAGAAACUAUUUUUCAAAAUUAUUUUCGAAAACACUUCCCAACCAAAGCUUAGUUUUUGAAAAAUAUUCUAUGAUGAUUUGUUAAAACAAAAUUUUUCUUUACAACUUAAAAUAUUUUUAAUCUGUUUUCUAUGUUUUUAAAAAUAAUUCUGAAAAAUAGUUUUUCUCUUAUGUUUUGUAAAAUAAAAAUUUGUUUGGAAAUUUAAAAUAUUUUAAACCUAUUUUUUAUUUUUUAAAAUAACUUUUAUAUAUAGUGCUUCAUUUUAAUCACACUCCAUAGAGUUGUUAUUGAUUGUAGAGGAUUACACUUCAUAAAGUUGUUAUCAUUAGUCAUUCUUUUUCUAUACAUUUAUAAAUCCUUAUAACUGAUCAUUUUGUAUCUACUCUGUAACAGUGCAAACUCUUAAAACAAUAUCCACAAAGCUAAACUACAAAUAUUGGAACAUAGGCCAAGGCUCAUGCAGUGGAGGUUUCAACCGAGCCAUCGAUGAUAAUAGCUACAGCAAUGUCACAUGCAACUGCACCUUCAACAAAGGAACUGUUUGCCAUGUCACAAACAUGUAUGAUUUUCUUUUCUUGUUCUUCCCUGACAUAAUACAUAUAUAAAAAAUUCAAUCCAUUAGACUAAUGGAAAAGUAAUUGCAUGAGUAUAUGGAAUGGAAUGUUAGUUGCUUAAUGUUAAUAGGAAAGAACAUGACAUCUUUGGAUUACAGAGACAUUAUUUUUCCUUUCUAUCUCUUUGCAAGGCCAUUUGAUUUGUGUGCUUUGUUAAAUUCCCAUUGCAUUCAUGUAAUAAAACCUUUUUUUUCAUGCAGAAUGAAUUGCCCAAAGUCUAGUGAAUGAAAGCCUUGUCUUUGUUUUAUAUUGAUUUAGUUUCGAUCUCUUGAACCUGAUUUGCAAAUGCCUUGUUUCCAUAUCAAUUAUCAUAUGUUAGUGAGCAAUUAAUUAUGUCAUUAAGUCCACUUUCUAGUGGCUGAAUGAAAUGGCCCAAUGCAACUAGAGCUUUCUUGUGGAUUUUCACUUGUUCAUAAUGCCAAGUGCUAAAGGGUAAAUGUUGGUUCCCACACUAUUCGAUCAAAGCUUUAAAUGAUUGUUUACAUUGAUUACUAGGUUUCCUACCAUAACUUAGACCUUUUCCACUUUUGAAGAUAAAAUUGAACGUCUAAUUUUUAUUAUACAUAUUAUAAUAUAUGGUUAAAAGAACACUUUGCAGAUCGAUCUAUAAAAGAAUUGAUAUGGUUUGAUUCCUCAAUUGAAUCAAUAGUAUCUCUAGAGUCCAAUUCUUCCCAACACUAUGCGUGCAAAGAGAAAAAGUAAAGACUACCAUUAAAGCAGUCCAAACAAGACUUAGAGUGCGUUUGAAAGUGUUUUUAUUUGAAGUAUUUUUAAUUUAAGUGUUUUUGAAAGAAUCACAUAUCAAAUACUUCUCCAAAAGGUACUACUAGUGAUUUUUCAACUUUUUAAAAGUACUUACCGAAUUUUGCCAAACGCCUUAUUUUUCUUUACAAACGCCUUUUAUGCUAAAAGUGCUUUCUCAAAUAGUGGAAUCAAUAGCAAAAGUCAAAAAAGGAUUAUGACCAACUACAUUGAUGAACCAAUCCUAUAAAUCCACUUAUGAUAAAACAAGCCCUUAUAGGAUUUCUAGUAGAGUCAGAAAACAUUAAGCAGAAGCACAAUAUGCUUGGAUAUGAGAACUUUAGCCUCACUACCAAGUCUAAUUAUUUUGUUAUAUGUCAGUUGUACUUUUCCUUUUCUUAUUUUUUGCUUCCUUUUGUGAAUUACAGCCAGCUGAAGGGUCUUGAUUUGGAUGGAACUUUACCUGAUGAGUUUGGAAAUCUUUCUUAUCUGCAAGAACUGUAAGUGACAUGUUUCUCAACAUUGGGAAGUCAAUGGACCAAAUUUGCCUUGAUGUUUCAUUGGGUUUUUCAACUUAUCAAACAAAUUUCUUAACUCACCAAUACCUUAAUCCCUACUACAUGGGGUUGCAGUUUCACUAAACUAUAGAGGUUAGUUCACUUAUGAUGUGUUUGAAUAUCCCAUGAAAUUAAGUUAGACCAUUGUGUUUCAAAUAACAUUCAAAACAAGUCCAUUGCGUUUACUGUAGUAUUUACAUGAUUUUAUUGCCUUUUAAAAUAAAUAAUAAUAAUAACAAGUGCAGGCAAAGAUUAAAACAAAUGAUCUCAUUUCACUUUUGUUGUGGUGAUUACCAACUUUUGUGAUUUCUAGUAAUAGUAAUAGACUGGAUAAACUGUCAUGGGGCAGCCCAAUAUAGCAUGAAAAUUAUUUGAUCAUCAUCAUCGGAUUCGGUUUUUGAUAUUGUACAGUCAUCUCCAGUAUCUGACUUGAACCCAAAUGAGGGAUUCUUCUUUUAUCCGGUGACCAUGUAAAAUUAAGAUAUACUAAGGGAUUCUUUUUUACUAAAACAGUGAUCUCUCCCGAAACUAUAUCAAUGGAUCGAUCCCUACAAGUCUUGGUCAGCUUUUUCUUACCAUUCUGUAAGUUCUGAUUAAUUGCAUUUGCACUUGUGAGGUGAGGAUCUUGUUUUCCAGUAAUUUACUAAGUACUUCAUAGUUGGGAAAGUUUAACUUUUGGUACACUGCAGCGCUCUUCCUGGAAAUAGAAUCUCUGGGUCGAUUCCUCAUGAAAUCAGUAAUAUCAGUACACUUGAGGAGCUGUAAGUCAUGAAAUGGAGUUGAAUGUCUAUUAGAGAAAUUAAUUAUGCCCAACCUUGAUUAUAAAUCCAAAUUUUCUUUUCCAGGGUCUUGGAAGCUAAUCAGCUUGGAGAACAUCUCCCUCCAAGUCUUGGAAAGUUGAGUCAUUUAAGGAGACUGUAAGAAUGCUGUUCUCAUCCCAUUCCUUGUAUGCAUAUUAAUUAUUCAUUUCUUUUAUUUCAAAUAAUCACUAAGUCCUUAUAUUCUGGUUGUAGCCUGCUUAGCUGCCAAAAUGCCCAAAAUCAAUUUGAGGAAGCUAAUUUUUUGAGUCAAAGACUUUUAUAAUGCAUUUUGUGUGAUGAAAUGACUCAUGGAUAUGGUGAGUGUAUAUUGGUUGAGUUCAUUUUCAGUUGCACGAUUGCUUAUUUUUUAGUUCAUUUACUUCGAGUUAAUGAAAAUAAUGGGAAGAUGGAUUUUCAUAUAUCUGAAAGUGCAAUCUACCUUUUUUGUUCCUUUAUCUCCAGGGUGAAUCAUGAGAAAUAUUUAUAACCAAGAAGACAAAUAUAGGCGAACAUGGCUAUGAACUAGGCGGUUUUUAUGGACUGACAGAUGGAAAUUCAUAUAGGCUAUAUCUAUUUUUCUAACAUUAAGAAACCGAGUUUAGUAUUCAUUAAUUCAUCCUAUGAUGAAAUGGAGAUGUCGAGCAUGAUUUGUAAUGCUUCAUAGAGAAUAGAAGUAAAGAUGAUGAGGACUAAUCUGCUGGGUAUUUACACCUUGUGCUUUUAAUGCCAAAAGUUCAUGAUUUGGGAAGUUACUUUGUUUGGAGGGUGAUUAACAUUGUUGGGGAAUUAUUUUUUCUUAAUGUUUUCAACAAAAGACUUUGCAUUGACCCUCUAUUCUGGUUGUGUUGUCUAAUUACUAUUUCCAGGGAAUUCAUCUGUUUUUUUUCUUUUGGUUCUCCUACAGUGUUCUUUCUGCAAACAAUUUCGUUGGAACAAUACCAGAAAAUUUUCACAAUCUGAAGAACCUAACUGAUUUGUAAGUGGUAUAAUUAUAUGGACAUUUAUCCUUUUAUGCAAAUUUAGAAAUUUCUGAACUCCGUGUACCAUUUGCAGUAGGAUAGAUGGGAAUAAUUUAUCUGGGAAGAUACCAGAUUGGAUUGGGAAUUGGACCAAACUUCAGAAACUGUGAGUAUUAUACUUCAUUUCAUUUAUCUGCCAAUUUGUCCACUGAGAAAAAUUCCAUACAAGCUCAGUUAAAUUCUCUAGUUAUCUAUAAAGAUAUUAAACUGUUGCAGGUAUCUGCAAGGCACAUCAAUGGACGGGCCCAUUCCUUCUACUAUAUCCCAGUUGAAAAACUUAAUCGAGUUGUGAGCAUGUGUUCCACUAUCUGAUAGUUGCUUUAUUCAGUUCAUGAUGUUAUCCACGGUUAAAAUUGAAUUCAUAGAAAUAUAAGCAUGUAAUUUGUUUUGUUGUAUCUUAAUCGUCAGGUUAAUAUCUGAUUUGAGUGGACCGACUACAUCUUUCCCCAAUUUGAAGGAUAUGAAAAACUUAAAAAUAUUGUGAGUUGAAGAUAGAUAUACUUCAGGAAUCAUUGACAAGCUGCAGUCUCAAGUUAUCCACUUUAUGUUCCAUUGACUUAUCAAGAUGUUUUACUCAUUUGUGUUAUGCAGGGUGAUGAGAAAUUGCUCCAUUACAGGUGAAAUCCUAGAAGACAUUGGAUAUAUUGGGAGUUUAAAACUUUUGUAAGUUUUUUUGAAUGGACAUUCUUAGAGAUGUUCUUGAUUUUCUUCAUUGGUAUAUAUGUAUAUAAGAAGAAGAAAAAUAUAAUUCUCCUAUGGCAUACAAUCAGUAAAUUACAUGGUUAUAUCGACACAACUUUUCUGAUUCAUGUUGAAAUUUUUGCUUGCAGAGACCUGACCUUCAACAGACUGAAUCAUACAAUUCCAGUGAGCUUUAAGCAAGAAAAGAAGGAGAAAAUAAAACUCGAUUUCAUGUAAGUUAGAUACUUGUAAUAAAGUACAAGUCUAAAUAUCCAGAAAUCUACAUUUUAUUUGCUCCUUAACCAGUCAUUUUUAUCCAUUAAUAGCUUGUUUAAUUAUAACUGAGAUAUGGUGCUAUCUAUGUACACAGGUUUCUCACCAACAACUCACUGACUGGAGAAGUGCCCAGCUGGAUAAUAUCAGACGCUGAAAACAAAAUGUUGGUAUUUCUCAGUCUCCUGUUGUUCUGAUUUGGCUAUGAAAUCAUUCAUGUAAUGUGCAAUGUUACAUACACAAGUGGUCUCUUUUUAGCAGUGGUUCUUUGAAACCAAAUUAAUAUUUCAAUCUUUCAUUCAAUCAAGAAAUAAAACACCAACUCCAUUUCAAUCUCGGUUGCAGUGAUUUAUCUUACAACAAUUUUACAGGGCCGCACCUUGAUUCUUGCAAAAACCAAGUGUAAGCUUUCUUCCUUCCAUUAUUUGUACAUUUGGUUCUGUUUUUCCCUCAUCUUCUUGAAACAUUUUUUCACAACUCCACAGGAACUUGGUUUCCAGUUAUGCAUCUUCAGCAAGAAACAUGUAAGUUCUUCCAACCUUGUUUUACAUGUGCAUUCAGCAUUAGAAUUAUAAACAAGAGACUGAAUCAAAGUUCAACUUUGUAGGACCCCUUGGUGCUUACAGAAGGAUCUCCCUUGCUCUGGAAAAGCCAAAUGUAAGCUUUUGUAACCUAUUGUACUCUGUUAGUAUGAAGUGGCAAAUAAGUUGAAUCUCUGGCAUGAUUCCAAUUACAUUUAAUUGCAGACUAUUCCUUGUAUAUCAAUUGUGGAGGAGAGGAAACAACUUUUAAAGGGAAGACAUAUGAAAAAGACAACAAUGUUGAGGGUGCGUCACAGUUCUUUACUGAUGGUAUAGACAAAUGGGCUUAUAGCAGUACAGGGGCUUUCAUAGGUAACCAGGGUGGUAGUCACCUAGCCAAAAACACAUCUGCUUUGAACUCAGAGGAUGCAGAGAUGUACCAAACUGCUCGUCUUGCUCCCAUCUCACUCAAGUAUUAUGGGCUUUGCUUGCGAAAGGGCCCUUAUAAAGUGCGACUCCAAUUUGCUGAAAUCAUGUUUUU